ensembl:lncRNA
GCCUGGCGCCCUCGCGGCCUUAAAGGGGCAGCGGCCGCGUGCAGGUGGGACCGCCGCGGUGGGGAAACUGAGGUACGCGGCGGAACGGAGAGAGCCCGGUGGUGCUGUGAAUGCAAACGAUGACCGAAUCCCGAUCUUGAAUUAUUUAAGCGCUAAACUAAUAAAACCUGUGAUCAGCAGUCUGAUAGUAAAAACACCUGGGAGAAAACUUCCCCUCAAGGUCUGUGGUACAACGGAAACCGCACCAGCUGCAGCUGCUGAGGGCUUCGAUGAGAGCAGCACCGUCUGCUGGGCCUUGGGGACAAAUAAAUCUGUCCCCCAGGCCGGGGCUCUGCGGAACCGAACGGGGAUGUGUGCGUAGAGCCUUCCUUCAGCCUGCCCCUCGUGCUUGGUCAGACCGACAGCAGAGGGAGGUGGAGAAGGCGAGGCCCUGCUGGGCACAUCGCAGCUUCAAGGCGCGGCUCUGCUGCAGGCACAGCUGUAACCCAGUGGGCUCUGCCUGUGAUAACGACAGCCGAGAUUUCUUUCUACAACGCCAUUCGGACCAUCAGUGCUGCAGGAAAACGCUUGAAGUGGGUUAGAAGUUUAGGAGGAAGACUACGAGCCUUCACGAGGACGAUGAUGAGCCUUCAUCCCACAACCACCAGGAGGAGACCCCCACAAUCACAACGCGUGUGCAAGGGGGAGGGAUUGUAUGCUAAGGAGUACUCAGAAACAUAAUGAAUAUGUAUACAAAUUCCAGGAAAAUCACUGAUUAUGAAUUAGUUCUGCCUACAUCUUAUCUCAAGCUUUUGCUCUACAGUGUGCAAGUAAGGAGGAUCUAUCCCUCUUGCACCCGGUGUCUGCACAGCAUUGAUUAGAUAUACCUGAUUUUAUAACUACUUUGUGGUUAUAGAGUUUGAUUCCACACAUCACCCUUUUUUGCUGUAGGAGAGAGGUCAGAUCUGUACCUUUCUCAAAGCAGCCACAGUAGUGAUGGCCCCAAGUUCACAGUUCUUGCACUGACUGACUUGUUAAAUGUGGUUUCUCUAUUAAAGAAUGUAUCAGCAAAACUCUUCCUUUCGAAUUUUGCCUUUAAACAGAUAUAAAAUAAAUCCUGCUAUGGAGGUGCAAGUUUGUUCCCAUGAGAUCUACCCUGCAAAAUCUGCAACCAAUCAGUUGUGCUCUAUCCCACAAAAAAAAUUAGGCUAUAUCCAUCUUUCAGGAAUAAAAGAUAGGAUGUAGAAGUAGAUGGCUUAUAUUUAAAAAUUAAAAUACUUCAACUUUUAACCUCCAAAGCUGCCAGGCAAGUUGGGCUGAAAACUUACCCUUAAACAGGCAGCUGACCUCAUGCAGCAUCCUGUCUGUCCUACAGAAUCCCAUUGUUUUCUAUCUUCAGAGAGACUAAAGCCAGACUACAAUUAACAUGGAAAGUUCCCAUCUAACAACCUUUGCUACAUGACAGCCA